UUGGAUGUCUGGCGGCAUCCAGUUCUCCCGCGCGGCGGCGAGGGUUUGGCGGGAGAGCCACCUCCGAGAGCCUGAGAGAGAGGCGAGACACGUCGCUGUGGAGGAGAGGGUUGGAGCUCUGUUCCAUCCAGAGCAGAGGAGGUCGUCGCGCCACAUUCAUUGGAGACAAAGUAGGGCGGCCUCGCGCCGCCGCGGAGGCGACGGGGAGGAGGGCCUCGCCGCCCGGGAGCUUCUGAGAAGAUACAGAGCGGCCGCAGAUUUCGUUCACCCGAUCCGCCCCUCGAUUCCACCGAGAAGAUACAGUCGUCGUUCGCCGGAGAUAAGUUGGGUGGUGUGCAAUGGCACAAUCUGAUAAGGGGAUGCCUCAAGUUGGCAUGAUAUUCAAAAGUCAAGAGGAGUCUUGGUUGUUUUGGAUAGCAUAUGGUGGUCGUGUAGGCUUUGAUGUGAGGAAAAGGUACACCAAUGUGAGCAAAUUUGAUGGUAAGGUAACUUCCUGCAGAUAUGUUUGUGCCAAUGAAGGUCAUCGAAAAAAAAAACGCAAAGAGAAUCCAUUCGAAAGUGCUUUAGAGAUGAGACAAGAACUGAUUGUAAAGCUCGAAUGACUCUUACAUUGGAUCGAGAGUCUGGAAAUUUGGAAGUCACGGAUGUAGUUCUUGAACAUAAUCACUUGCUUCACUUGCCACAAACCCGCCACCUCAUGGUGUCGCAAAGGAAAAUAUCAGAAUUUCAAGCAUAUGAAAUUGAAGCUGCGGAUGAUUCUGGAAUUAGGCCUAAAGCUGCAUAUGAGCUCGCUACUCGUCAGGUUGGUGGACCACUUAAUCUCAGGGCAUGGCCAAUGCUCCACCGUGGAGUGGUGCUUCAGCUAUACACGUAGGUUCGGAUGGUCACAGAAAUCUUUUGCAAAGCAAGAGGCAAAGAGAGUUGGCUUUUGGUCAGGCAGGCAGCAUGUUAAAGUACUUUGGUGGGAAAGUUGCUGAAAAUCCAUCAUUUCAAUAUGCUUUGCAACUAGAUUGUGAGGAGAAUAUAUCUAACAUUUUCUGGGCUGAUGCUAAAAUGAUGUUAGACUAUGCACACUUUGGCGAUGUUGUCACAUUUGACACUACUUUUGGCACAAACAAGGAAUAUAGGCCAUUUGGUGUUUUAGGGAGACUACAGUUUUUGGUGCUGCACUAAUGUUUGACGAAACAUUAGCCUCAUUCAAAUGGCUCUUUGAAACUUUCCUAGGUGCGCAUAAUGGAAGGCAACCUAGAACUAUUUAUACCGAUCAAGAUUAUGCAAUGGGUAGAGCUGUAGAGGUUGUGUUCACAGAAGCAUAUCAUGGACUGUGUACAUUUCAUAUAAUGCAGAAUGCUGUCAAACAUCUAUCUCCAAUUAAGGUUGAAGAUGAAGAUGAGGGUGAAGAGAAAGAGGAGGGUGAAGACAAAGAUAAAGACGAAGAAUCACAUAUUCUCACUGAUUUUAGUGCUUGUAUGUAUGGCUAUGAGGACAAGGUUGAGUUUGAAGAAGCAUUUGCCAACAUGAGGUUAAAGAUGCAUAAGCAAACUUGGUUUGAUAGUAUCUACAAGGUAAAAGAAAAGUGGGCUGAAUGUUUUAUGAGAGACGUCUUCAGUUUGGGAGUGAGAAGUACACAAUUAAGUGAGAGCUUCAACAAUUCAUUGAAGAACCAUUUGAAAUCUGAUUUUCAUAUUGUUAGAUUUUUAAAGCAUUUUGAAAGGAUAGUGGAACAAAAAAGAAACAAAGAGCUGGAAUCUGAAUUUGAAGCAAGAAAAAACAUACCAAGAAUCAAGAUGAGCAGGCCUAUGUUGGUACAAGCAAGCAAAGUGUACACUCCAACAAUUUUUGAAGCUUUCCAAAGUGAGUAUGAAAGAUCUAUGGCUGCAUGUAGUAGAGUAUUGGAUGGAAACAAAUAUGUUGUAUCUAUUGGUAGCUUGAUUGCGUUGGUCCACGGUUGGAGGAAAAACUCAAUGCAUCUAGUAGUGCUAUGAAUGAACCAAGUAAUGACCAAGAAAAUGUUGACCCAAAUGUGCAGCAAAGAGAUGACUUGCUAAGAGCUGCUAAACUGAAGAAAAAGGAGGUUCAGCCCAAAAAUUCAAAGAGAAAGAAAAAUUGGCUUGAUAGGUUGCACAAGGCCAAGCGCAAGGCAACUAAACCUGUUGUUUCGACCAAGAAAGGACCAAAGCAAAAAAAGAAAAAUGUAGAUGUACAGCCCCAAGGGGAAGUGAAGAAUGAUGGCAACAAGAGAAGCGCAAAUGUGGAAAAUGGGCAGUACAUUGCCAUUGAGAGCUUUACUCAGCUCCUCACAGCUCCCCCUACUUGUGAAGAUGAUCGUCUUUAUGGUGAAAAUUUGUUCUAAUAUCUAGAUGUUGGUUAGAUGAUACUUUGGGGGUUAACUAUAGUUAUCUGGUGGUAUUUUGGUGGCUAACUAUAGUCUUUUGUGGCCUAAGUGUACAAGUGAAUGGCCUAUUAUGUAACAUACUUGGAUGGUUAUUCAUUGGUAGUACUUGUUGCUACAGAAUUUGAAUGAUAUGGUUCAGAAUAUCAAUGUCAAGUGCUUGAAUAUUUGUGCUACAGAGUUGUACGAAUGAUAAGUGCUUGCA